UCAUUUUUAAAUGGAGCAAAAAGUUAUGGCCUGCUGUUCCGGAAUUACAAACCCUACCACCCUGUUAAGAUACUAAUGAUGAUUACUGUGUGCUUUGGUGGGUAAGGACUAACAGGAUGACCAAUGUGAGACCUAUACAAAAUCAUAUCCCUAUCAUCAAAUGGAUAACUCCGGCGAUACAGAUGCUCAAACUAAACUUUGAUGGAGACAAGGCUGAUCCUGGUUUUGUUAGUCGACAUGCAAGUGAUUUAUCUACUAUUGCUUGAGUG
rnacentral:lncRNA from 1 species